UACGUAGGUGGCAAGCGUUGUCCGGAAUUACUGGGCGUAAAGAAUGCGUAGGUGGAUAUAUAAGUCAGAUGUGAAAUACCCGGGCUCAACUUGGGUGCUGCAUUUGAAACUGUAUAUCUGGAGUGCAGGAGAGGUAAGUGGAAUUCCUAGUGUAGCGGUGAAAUGCGUAGAGAUUAGGAAGAACACCAGUGGCGAAGGCGACUUACUGGACUGUAACUGACACUGAGGCAUGAAAGCGUGGGGAUCAAACAGG
rnacentral:rRNA from 1 species